rnacentral:rRNA from 1 species
AGCGUUACUNGGAAUCACUGGGCGUAAAGGACGCGUAGGCGGAUUAUCAAGUCUCUUGUGAAAUCUAACGGCUUANCCGUUAAACUGCUUGGGAAACUGAUAAUCUAGAGUAAGGGAGAGGCAGAUGGAAUUCUUGGUGUAGGGGUAAAAUCCGCAGAUAUCAAGAAGAAUACCUAUUGCGAAGGCGAUCUGCUGGAACUUAACUGACGCUAAUGCGUGAAAGCGUGGGGAGCAAACAGGAUUAGAUACCCUGGUAGUCCACGCCCUAAACGAUGUAUACCGGUUGUUGCUGUGCUAGUCACGGCAGUAAUCCACCUAACGGAUUAAGUAUACCGCCUGGGGAGUACGGUCGCAAGAUUAAAACUCAAAGGAAUAGACGGGGACCCGCACAAGCGGUGGAGCAUGUGGUUUAAUUCGAAGAUACGCGAAGAACCUUACCCGGACUUGAUAUCUAACAAAUCAUCCAGAGAUGGAAGAGUGUCUGCUUGCAGAAAUGUUAAGACAGGUGCUGCACGGCUGUCGUCAGCUCGUGUCGUGAGAUGUUGGGUUAAGUCCCGCAACGAGCGCAACCCACGUCAUUAGUUGCUAUCGGUUCGGCCGAGCACUCUAAUGAGACUGCCUUCGUAAGGAGGAGGAAGGUGUGGACGACGUCAAGUCAUCAUGGCCCUUAUGUCCGGGGCGACACACGUGCUACAAUGGCGUAUACAAUAAGACGCAAUAUCGUAAGAUGGAGCAAAUCUAAAAAAUAUGUCCCAGUUCGGAUUGGAGUCUGCAACUCGACUCCAUGAAGCCGGAAUCGCUAGUAAUCGUAGAUCAGCCAUGCUACGGUGAAUACGUUCCCGGGUCUUGUACACACCGCCCGUCACACCAUGGGAGUUGAUUUCACUCGAAGC